UACGUAGGGCGCGAGCGUUGUCCGGAAUUAUUGGGCGUAAAGAGCUCGUAGGCGGCCGGUUGCGUCUGCUGUGAAAUCCCGGGGCUUAACCCCGGGCGUGCAGUGGAUACGGGCCGGCUGGAGGCAGGCAGGGGAGAAUGGAAUUCCAGGUGUAGCGGUGAAAUGCGUAGAUAUCUGGAGGAACACCGGUGGCGAAGGCGGCAUCCUGGACCAUUACUGACACUGAAAAGCGAAAGCCAGGGGAGCAAACGGG
rnacentral:rRNA from 1 species